rnacentral:rRNA from 1 species
AUUGAACGCUGGCGGCAGGCCUAACACAUGCAAGUCGAACGAGUGGCGGACGGGUGAGUAAUGUCUGGGAAACUGCCUGAUGGAGGGGGAUAACUACUGGAAACGGUAGCUAAUACCGCAUACCAUCGGAUGUGCCCAGCUGGGAUUAGCUAGUAGGUGGGGUAACGGCUACCCUAGGCGACGAUCCCUAGCUGGUCUGAGAGGAUGACCAGCCACCAGGGAACUGAGACACGGUCCAGACUCCUACGGGAGGCAGCAGUGGGGAAUAUUGCACAAUGGGCGCAAGCCUGAUGCAGCCAGGCCGCGGGUAUGAAGAAGGCGUUCGGGUUGUAAAGUACGUUCAGCGGGGAGGCGUUACCCGCAGAAGAAGCACCGGCUAACUCCGUGCCAGCAGCCGCGGUAAUAC